rnacentral:misc_RNA from 1 species
UACGGGGGGGGCAAGCGUUGUUCGGAAUUACUGGGCGUAAAGGGUUCGUAGGUGGCCAACUAAGUCAGACGUGAAAUCCCUCGGCUCAACCGGGGAACUGCGUCUGAUACUGAUUGGCUUGAGUGCAGGAGAGGAACGCGGAAUUCCAGGUGUAGCGGUGAAAUGCGUAGAUAUCUGGAGGAACACCGGUGGCGAAGGCGGCGUACUGGCUGCAACUGACACCGAGGAACGAAAGCCAGGGGAGCAAACGGG